GAUAGUGCUAAUAGUUGAAUUACAACAUUAAAUUGCAGAUUUGAAAGAGUACUAACGUACUAGCACUU
rnacentral:tRNA from 1 species